rfam:Oryza rufipogon genomic scaffold, chr01
AAUAGGUGUAGCCAUGAGUUUCCGCGUCCAACUUUAAUCAUCUGUCUUAUUUAAAAUUUUUUAUAAUUAGUAUUUUUGUUGUUAUAAUAUGAUAAAAUAUGAAUAGUACUCUACUCGUGAUUUAUGUUUUUAUUUUUUUAAAAAAAAUUAAAUAAGACGAAUGAUUAAAGUUAAGUAAAAAAACUAUGGCUGCACUUAUU